CUACACAUGCAAGUCGAACGCAGUAGCAAUACUGAGUGGCAGACGGGUGAGUAUAAUGUGGGAAUCUGCCUUUUGGUUUGGAAUAACACGAGGAAACUUGUGCUAAUACCGGAUAAGCCUUAACAGGGAAAGUUUUAACGCCAAAAGAUGAGCCCGCACUUGAUUAGCUAGUUGGUAAGGUAAUGGCUUACCAAGGCAACGAUCAAUAGCUGUUCUUAGAGGAAGACCAGCCACAUUGGGACUGAGACACGGCCCAAACUCCUACGGGAGGCAGCAGUGGGGAAUCUUGCACAAUGGGGGCAACCCUGAUGCAGCGAUGCCGCGUGAGUGAAGAAGGCCUUUGGGUUGUAAAACUCUUUCGUCGGGGAAGAAAAUGACUGUACCCGAAUAAGAAGGUCCGGCUAACUUCGUGCCAGCAGCCGCGGUAAUACGAAGGGACCUAGCGUAGUUCGGAAUUACUGGGCUUAAAGAGUUCGUAGGUGGUUGAAAAAGUUAGUGGUGAAAUCCCAGAGCUUAACUCUGGAACUGCCAUUAAAACUUUUCAGCUAGAGUAUGAUAGAGGAAAGCAGAAUUUCUAGUGUAGAGGUGAAAUUCGUAGAUAUUAGAAAGAAUACCAAUUGCGAAGGCAGCUUUCUGGAUCAUUACUGACACUGAGGAACGAAAGCAUGGGUAGCGAAGAGGAUUAGAUACCCUCGUAGUCCAUGCCGUAAACGAUGUGUGUUAGACGUUGGAAAUAUAUUUUUCAGUGUCGCAGCGAAAGCAUUAAGCACACCGCCUGGGGAGUACGACCGCAAGGUUAAAACUCAAAUGAAUUGACGGGGACCCGCACAAGCAGUGGAGCAUGUGGUUUAAUUCGAAGAUACGCGCAGAACCUUACCUACUCUUGACAUACUUGGAGGCUCUUGUAAUGAAGUAGUGCCUUCGGGAGCCAAGAUACAGUGCUGCAUGGCUGUCGUCAGCUCGUGUCGUGAGAUGUUCCGUUAAGUC
rnacentral:rRNA from 1 species